GGCAGUGUAACAUAGUGGUGAGGAGUAGGGCUUGUAACCAAAAGGUUGCUGGUUCAAUUCCUGCUGUUGUAC